AAACAUCGAUUUCUGCCUCAACAAACUUCCGCCCGGGAACUACAAACAUAAGUUUAAAACCCAAAGGACUUGGCGGUGCUUAAUACCCCCCUAGAGGAGCCUGUUCUAGAACCGAUAGUCCCCGUUAAACCUCACCCUCCCUUGUUCCAUCCCGCCUGUAUACCUCCGUCGUCAGCUUACCCUGUAAAGGACACAUAGUAAGCAAGAUUGGUAACACCCAAUACGUCAGGUCGAGGUGCAGCGAAUGGCAGGGAAAGAAAUGGGCUACAUUCGCUAACCCCUAGCGAACACGAAUGGCACGUUGAAACACAUGCUUAAAGGAGGAUUUAGAAGUAAGCCAGAAGCAGAGCGUCUC
rnacentral:rRNA from 1 species